UGUAUUUUAGUAUAGGAUGUAUGUAGAUUUUUGGAAUCUAAGGAAGUAGUUUAAUUCUACUAAAUACAA
rnacentral:tRNA from 1 species